GUCUUUUUGAAUUAAAUAUAAGGUUUAACCUGCCCAUUGAAUAAUAUAUUUAAAAGGCUGCGGUAUUUUGACCGUACAAAGGUAGCAUAGUCAUUAGUUUUUUAAUUGAAAACUUGUAUGAAUGGUUGAAUGAAAAAUUAACUUUUUUAUUUAAAAUAUUGAAUUUUACUUUUUAAUUAAAAGGUUAAAAUAUUUUUAAAAGACGAGAAGACCCUAUAGAGUUUUAUAAUAUAAAUUAUUAAAUUAUUUAAAAGGGUUAAUUUUUAUUUUAUAUUUUUUAUUAUUUUGUUGGGGUGAUAAUAAAAUUUAUUUAACUUUUAUUUUUUUUUUACAUUAAUAUAUGAAUAUUUGAUCCAGUAAAUAUAUUGAUUAUAAAAUUAAAUUACCUUAGGGAUAACAGCGUAAUUUUUUUUUAAGUUCUUAUUAAUAAAAAAUUUUGCGACCUCGAUGUUGGAUUAAGAUUUAAUUUUAGGUGCAGAAGUUUAAAUUUUAAGUCUGUUCGACUUUUAAAUUCUU
rnacentral:rRNA from 1 species